rnacentral:rRNA from 1 species
CAAGAAAUAACAAUACAAGGCAGUUAAAAUGCUUUGUAAUUGGAAUGAUAGAAAUUUAAACACUUUUUAAAGUAUCAAUUGGAGGGCAAGUCUGGUGCCAGCAGCCGCGGUAAUUCCAGCUCCAAUAGCGUAUAUUAAAAUUGUUGCAGUUAAAAAGCUCGUAGUUGAAUUUCUGUUAAAAAUAACCGGUCUGCUUUUAAUAAAAGUGGUAUCUUGGUGUGUUUUUAGCAAUAAUGUCCUUUGAAAUGUUUUUUACUUUAUUGUAAUAAAUAAUAUUCAGGAUUUUUACUUUGAGAAAAUUAGAGUGUUUCUAGCAGGCUAACGCUUUGAAUACUGCAGCAUGGAAUAAUAAGAUAGGAUUUUAGUUCUACAUUAUUGGUUUUAAGAACUAAAUUAAUGAUUGAUAGGGACAGUUGGGGGCAUUUGUAUUUAACUGUCAGAGGUGAAAUUCUUAGAUUUGUUAAAGACAAACUACUGCGAAAGCAUUUGCCAAAGAUGUUUUCAUUAAUCAAGAACGAAAGUUAGGGGAUCGAAGACGAUCAGAUACCGUCGUAGUCUUAACUAUAAACUAUGCCGACUAGAGAU